GUACACUCCUGCGGGAGGCAGCAGUGGGGAAUAUUAGACAAUGGGCGCAAGCCUGAUCCAGCCAUGCCGCGUGAGUGAUGAAGGCCCUAGGGUUGUAAAGCUCUUUCACCGGUGAAGAUAAUGACGGUAACCGGAGAAGAAGCCCCGGCUAACUUCGUGCCAGCAGCCGCGGUAAUACGAAGGGGGCUAGCGUUGUUCGGAUUUACUGGGCGUAAAGCGCACGUAGGCGGACUAUUAAGUCAGGGGUGAAAUCCCGGGGCUCAACCCCGGAACUGCCUUUGAUACUGGUAGUCUUGAGUUCGAGAGAGGUGAGUGGAAUUCCGAGUGUAGAGGUGAAAUUCGUAGAUAUUCGGAGGAACACCAGUGGCGAAGGCGGCUCACUGGCUCGAUACUGACGCUGAGGUGCGAAAGCGUGGGGAGCAAACAGGAUUAGAUACCCCUGUAGUCCCAUGA
rnacentral:rRNA from 1 species